rnacentral:rRNA from 1 species
CCUACGAGCGACAGCAGUGAGGAAUAUUGGUCAAUGGGCGCGAGCCUGAACCAGCCAAGUAGCGUGAAGGCUGACUGCCCUACGGGUUGUAAACUUCUUUUAUAAAGGAAUAAAGUGAGGCACGUGUGCCUUUUUGUAUGUCCUUUAUUAAUAAGGAUCGGCUAAAUCCGUGCCAGCGGCCGCGUUAAUACGGCGGAUCCGAGCGUUAUCCGGAUUUAUUGGGUUUAAAGGGAGCGUAGAGAGGUUGUUAAGUCAGUGGUGAAAGUUUGCGGCUCAAACGUAAAAUUGCAAUUGAUACUGGCAGUCUUGAGUACAGUGGAGGUAGGCAGAAUUCGUGGUGUAGCGGUGAAAUGCUGAGAGAUCACGAAGAACUCCGAUUGCGAAGGCAGCUUACUAAACUGCCACUGACAUUGAUGCUCGAAAGUGUGGGUAUCAAACAGGAUUAGAUACCCGGGUAGUC